rnacentral:lncRNA from 1 species
UGUAGCCCCAUAUCAAAGAGCUUAUCUAUAUACAACUCCUCCAGUUAAGGCCCGGGGCUCAUUACAGAAGAAGAGAUGUAGCAGUUAUAAGAGGAGCCAAUGUGCGGGGCAGAUGCUGCUGAACACGAAACUCAUCUUUUCCUCCUCCUGUGGCCACCUGCUUCCUGUCUCAGCAUUUACACCUACCUCACAGUCCAGCUGCUUCCUCUGCUGUUGGCUCCACAGCUCCCUCAGUAAAGGCACAAGUGCUGUGUGAGCAGUGACCCCUUGCCACUUCCCUGUCAUGGUCCAGCUGCCUUUUAACCUGAGCACUGACGUUAACAGAUUCCUCUUACAUUUAGGAUGUCAGCCUGUGACCAUUCUUCACUACUGUCCUUGUCCAUUUGCCUUGUCUCCUGCUUCUUCUGUUCAAAGCUCAGAGACUCUUCAACAUGUCUCAAAUACCUCGUGGUUGAACUGCAGAAAGAGUGUUGCACGACUACUUAGAUUUUGCUCAUUCUCUCUCUAAAUGGCAGGGAAAUCGCCCUAAGGGGAAGAUGAAAUAAAUAAAUGCUUCUAGAUGCAUUUAACUAUGUUGGUCAACAAAGCUCCAAAGAAAUAAAAAAAAUGUGUCCAUGUUAUGUUAAAUUGAGACACAGUGGUUAUCUGUAAGCAGGUCUAGAAGACAGGUAUAAUAAGAAAUAGUUAGCACUAUAACAUCUCAGAAAUUGCC